rnacentral:tRNA from 1 species
AAGGUUUUAAGUUAAUUAAAACUAUUAUCCUUCAAAGUUAAAAAUAUAAUUUUUGUAAGCCUUA